AUAAUAUGUUAGUGUAUUCUUUAUAAGAAAUGCAGUUAUUUUCAUAUUUUAAACAUAAACAAACAGCAUAAAAACAUGUGUGAUAACAAUUGGAUACAUUUAGCAAGUCUUGAAGAAAAUGUGCAAGCAACAAUUUGACUUGUUGUUAAUACUGAUGGAAUUCCUGUUUUUAAAUUAUCAAAGUGGACCUUGUGGCCUUUGCUAGCAUCCAUUCAUAAUUUUCCAUAUUCAUUGCAAAUUACUAAUAUUUUGUUUUUUGGUUUCUGGUCCAGUUUUAAAAAACCAAACGUGCAAUUAUUUUUAUCUUGUUUUGUUGAUUUUUUACUAACCUAUCCACUACUGGUAUACUCUUAUCUAAUAAUGUUCGUGUUUUUUUUCAUGUAUCUAUUUUUUUGUGUGAUACAAUUGCAGGAGCUAUGGUUUUUUGUUGUAGGUAGUUUAAUGAUUAUAAUGGUUGCCAUUGGUGUUCUUCUCAAGGGGUAAGAGUUAAAAAAAGGUAGGAGGUCUUGUAUGACUUAUCUAUUUUCUGAUGUUAAUGGGAGUUGUAGAAACCAUACAGAUUUUUUUUGGAUUAAUGUGAUUAAAGGGUUUUUAGAUUUUUCUACAUUUGUAAGAGUACCUAAUUUUAAUUGUGAAAAUGGAACAGUUGUUAAUAAUCUGCACUGUAAUGAGCUUGGUGUUAUGAAAGCUAUGUUUUCUUUCUGAUUUGAUAGUUAUUAUUCUGGUUAUAUUUUUUCUAUUAGAAGACACUGUACUGUUGUAAAUAAUCUUUUAUCUGCAAUCAGUGUGCUAAGCAAUAUAAGACAGACUCGAUGAUCAUUAAGUUGUAUAAAGCAUUGGAAAGGAUAAAAGUGAUAAAAUGCUAUUGGUUGGAAAUUGAUAAAUUAAUAAAAAAUGAUUGAUUCUAAUUGCGCGAAAAUAUGUUGCUCUAAAGACCCAAACCGAAAAGAAUGCCUAAAGUGGUUUUCAAAAGAUGAAUUGACGAAUUUCUUAAUUCUUUUUGUUUCGUUGUGAUAAUUUGUCGUAUGAGAACGCUAACGAGAAAAAACUUUUUAAAUAUAGAAACAUGCGUAAUAUAAAGUUUACUUAUGCCUAUAAAAAAAUAUGUUUUACAUUAAUUAAUAAAUUAACUUUUUAGUUUCUUGUUAAAAAUUGUAUUCUGUAUUGAAGUUUAUUUCUGAGAAUUUGUAAUUAUACCUAAGAUAAUCUAAUCCUACAUUGUAUUUUAAUUUAUAAAACUCGAUAUUUUAAAAUAAAUAUAUUACUUUUUUAUCGCG
rnacentral:lncRNA from 1 species